UGCUCAGGCGCCAUUUUGGUGGCGAUUUUUGCAGUUUGAGGUCCUGUUGAAGCAGCAGCGACCGCGAGGAGGAUGAGACCUCAUUUCGAAAUGGCAGUUUUCUGAUGGAAUCAGUUGAAGUGGCUUUCAUCUAAUUUAACCAAUGUGUCUGCUACACUUAAGCAUUCCAUGGUCAUGAAAAAUCCACUGAGAAUUGCACUAAGGGCCUGAUUCGUCAUCUUCCUCAAGAGAUUCCUAAGGAAGAAAAAACAUGGUGAGGAGAAUGUGUUACACAAGGCAAAUUGCAAAAGUUGCAUUGAAAUUUAUUUUAUUUACUUUGGCAUAUUUUUCUGCUUCCUCUUUGAUAUCUUUAGGUACAAGUUCAUGUCUGCCUUUUGUAACUGCAAAGUAAAACAUCAAAUUAUAAUAGUAUCAAGAGAAAAAGUAAAUAUCUUUCAAUCUUCUACUUUUGCCUCCCACCCUUUCCUAAAUCAUCUAGAUGUCUAAUGCAUUGAAUGUACAAAAAUGUACUGCUGGAGUUUAUCAAGCCUGAAUGAUGUAAAUUAGCUAAUAUAAAAUAAAGACAAGAUGGUUGUCAGGCA